UACGGAGGAUGCAAGCGUUAUCCGGAAUGAUUGGGCGUAAAGCGUCCGCAGGUGGCUGUGUAAGUCUGCUGUUAAAGAGUGAGGCUCAACCUCAUAAAAGCAGUGGAAACUACACAGCUAGAGUGCGUUCGGGGCAGAGGGAGUUCCUGGUGUAGCGGUGAAAUGCGUAGAGAUCAGGAAGAACACCGGUGGCGAAGGCGCUCUGCUAGGCCGCAACUGACACUGAGGGACGAAAGCUAGGGGAGCGAAUGGG
rnacentral:rRNA from 1 species